rnacentral:tRNA from 1 species
ACUUAAAUAGCUUAAUUAGAGCGUGACAUUGAAGAUGUUAAGGUAAUUGUUAAAUUUUUAAGUA